UGGGGGAUAUUGCACAAUGGGCGAAAGCCUGAUGCAGCGACGCCGCGUGAGGGAAGACGGCCUUCGGGUUGUAAACCUCUGUCAUUCGGGACGAAGAAAGUGACGGUACCGAAGAAGGAAGCUCCGGCUAACUACGUGCCAGCAGCCGCGGUAAUACGUAGGGAGCGAGCGUUGUCCGGAAUUACUGGGUGUAAAGGGAGCGUAGGCGGGAAAGCAAGUUGGAAGUGAAAUGCAUGGGCUCAACCCAUGAGCUGCUUUCAAAACUGUUUUUCUUGAGUGAAGUAGAGGCAGGCGGAAUUCCUAGUGUAGCGGUGAAAUGCGUAGAUAUUAGGAGGAACACCAGUGGCGAAGGCGGCCUGCUGGGCUUUAACUGACGCUGAGGCUCGAAAGCGUGGGUAGC
rnacentral:rRNA from 1 species